GCGUUCCUUGAGAAGGGUGUCCUCUCUGUCCCUGAGUUCAUCCUCGCCGGCGACAAGCUCGUAUCCAAGUGCCCCACCUGGUCCUGGGAGGCGGGCGAUCCGAGCAAGAGGAAGCCAUACCUCCCCUCUGAUAAGCAGUUCCUUGCCACCAGGAAUGUGCCCUGCCUAAGACGAGCUGUGGCGGUCGAGGAAGAGUAUGAUGUAGCGGGAGCUGAGGUUGUUCUCGAUGACGAUGAGGAUGGCGAAGGAUGGCUCGCAACACAUGGGCUGCAACCGUCAGAAUCAAAAGAGGAGGAAGACAUACCGUCUAUGGAUACAUUGGACAUAGGGAAAGUCAAAUGA
rnacentral:rRNA from 1 species